rnacentral:rRNA from 1 species
UACGAAGGGGGCUAGCGUUGUUCGGAUUCAUUGGGCGUAAAGGGUGCGUAGGCGGCGCGGUAAGUCGGGUGUGAAAUCUCGGAGCUUAACUCCGAAACUGCAUUCGAUACUGCCGUGCUUGAGGACUGGAGAGGAGACUGGAAUUUUACGGUGUAGCGGUGAAAUGCGUAGAUAUCGUAAGGGAAGACCAGUGGCGAAGGCGGGUCUC